AGCCACGGCUGUGAGCGGGUGCGGCCUCCCCGAGCCGGCGGCGCUCAGCAGUCAAACCCCAGGAUCUGCCAUCCAAAAUGUGGAACAAGGUGUGUGCUGCCUGUCGUACAUCAAAGUCAUUGAUGUCUUUAUAAUGGAAACUGCCUGAUGAUUCGCUGGGCACUACACACCAAAACCAAGUAUGAAACCACUGGGAAACUUCAGCUUCUGUGAGGCAGAGGAACCAAAACCUUGAUGCCCAAAUAGCAAUGAGACACAUCACAUGCUCCAACCACUCAGAGUUCCAGUAUUUUUCAUCUACUGGGACAAGUACAUGGGGGCUUGGCUAUUGCCCUUGAUGGCUGGGUCCUGGUGCUUAGCUGCUUGGUGAGCCAUUCUUGUUCACUUCUUUACCCCUGAACAAAGAUUUUCCAGUGCCCCAAACUGAAGCUUUGCCAAAGGGCUUCCUGAGGCUGCUCUGAAGCCUGGACUUAGCAGAGGUCCAGCUUGCUUCUGGGAUCCCACAAGGCACUUGUUGCAAUUGUACCUCCCUUCAUUGAAGCCAGGCAACCCUAUCACAUGUGCUGGCAUGGCUGCAAGGAACAGGAUGGACAUAGUGUAAGAAAGACCUUCAGGGAUCAGUGCUGGGCCUGGUCCUAUUCAAUAUUUUUACUGAUGAGCUAGACCAGGGGAUUGAGUCCAGCAUCAGUAAGUUUGCAGAUGACCCCAAGCUAGGCGCAGGUAUCAAUGUGUUGGAGGGUAGGAGAGCCCUGCUGGACAGGUGGGCAGAGGCCAAUGGGAUGAGAUUUAACAAGGCCACAUGUUCUACACUUGGGCCACAACAACCCCAAUCAGUGUUACAGGCUGGGGACAGAGUGGCUGGAGAGCAGGCAGGAAGAAAGGGACCUGGGGGUACUGAUAGAUAGUAGCUGAAGGUGAGCCAGCAGUGUGCCCAGGUGGCCAGGAGAGCCAAUGGCAUCCUGGCCUGUAUCAGGAGCAGUGUGGCCAGUAGGACAAGGGAGGUUAUUCUUCCCCUGUACUCAGCACUGGUGUGCUAGUUUGAAGCAGGCUAGAAUGUUUUGGUGAGAAGAACUAGAUCAUAGGCUAUGAAAAGGAAAACAAUGGUUAUGUCUACUCCCCUCACAGUCUUGCUGAGAGGUAUGGGAACAAGAAGGGAAAGCAUUAGAUAACACUUUUCGCCAUUUUUGCCUUCACUUUCUGGCUGGGCUCGGACUGAGCUACAUCUCCCUAACCUCACUGCCACUAACCUUGCUUCUUAACCUCUUGGAUGAACCUCUUUUCUUCCUUAGGACUGGGGUAACGUUGAGAGGGGCAAGGGGAAGGUGCAGGGGUGGUUGAGAGCCCCUCCUGGGGACUCAGGUUUCUGGGAGGGGAGUUGUGUUUCUGUAUUACUUUUUCAUUUGUA